rnacentral:lncRNA from 1 species
ACACGAGGAAGAAUCAUAUAUUAGAUAAAAUUGUUGGAUUACAACAGCGGAUAUUACACGAGGAACAUCAUCCAAAUGUGAUGCAUAAUCUAAAUAUUUUCUUGAGAACAAAACUCAAACCAAAAGCGUGCAUCAACAUCCCUGCAACUUAACUAAAACUUAACCGAGGAACAUCAUCCCUACAACUAAACUAAAAUUGAAAGCAUCCAACAUCAUCAUCAUCAUCAUCAUCAUCAUCACCACCACCACCACCACCACCACCACCACCACCACCAUCAGUAUACUUGCCACGCACCCAUAUAAUCAUCCAUUUAUCUUUUGAAUCUACGAACAAAAAACAAAAUGAACUGUUAAUAGACAAUGCAUUGACAUGAUUAAUGUAGUGAUAGAUGAAGGAUGUUAGUCACAUACAAAGGUUGAAGGCCAUGCAAUCUUUGUUUUUUUCUGCAUUACCAAGAGUAGCAGUUUUUGCGUCUUCGCACCAAAUCUUAAGUUUUUGCGACUUCGCACCAAGAUCCAUAUCGACAUACACUGCCCAG